GGGAGGAAAGCAUAAAGUGUGCAAUUAACUUGAAAUUAAUAGGUGGCAGUUAAAGUCUGUCUCUUCUCG
rnacentral:tRNA from 1 species